CCUACGGGAGGCAGCAGUGGGGAAUUUUGGACAAUGGGCGCAAGCCUGAUCCAGCAAUGCCGCGUGCAGGAUGAAGGCCUUCGGGUUGUAAACUGCUUUUGUACGGAGCGAAAAGGUUCCCUCUAAUACAGGGGGCUCAUGACGGUACCGUAAGAAUAAGCACCGGCUAACUACGUGCCAGCAGCCGCGGUAAUACGUAGGGUGCGAGCGUUAAUCGGAAUUACUGGGCGUAAAGCGUGCGCAGGCGGUUCUAUAAGACAGUUGUGAAAUCCCCGGGCUCAACCUGGGAAUUGCAUCUGUGACUGUAGAGCUAGAGUACGGCAGAGGGGGAUGGAAUUCCGCGUGUAGCAGUGAAAUGCGUAGAUAUGCGGAGGAACACCGAUGGCGAAGGCAAUCCCCCUGGGCCUGUACUGACGCUCAUGCACGAAAGCGUGGGGAGCAAACAGGAUUAGAUACCCUGGUAGUCCACGCCCUAAACGAUGUCAACUGGUUGUUGGGAAUUUACUUUCUCAGUAACGAAGCUAACGCGUGAAGUUGACCGCCUGGGGAGUACGGCCGCAGGUUGAAACUCAAGGAUUGACGG
rnacentral:rRNA from 1 species